CCCUUAGACGUUCUGGGCCGCACGCGCGCUACACUGAACAGUUCAACAAGUCUUAACCUUGGCCGAUAGGUCUGGGUAAUCUUUGAACGCUGUUCGUGAUUGGGAUAGACCUUUGCAAUUAUGGGUCUUCAACGAGGAAUUCCUAGUAAACGCAAGUCAUCAGCUUGCAUUGAUUACGUCCCUGCCCUUUGUACACACCGCCCGUCGCACCUACCGAUUGAAUGGUCCGGUGAAAUCUCGGGACGGCGGCUUGGUCGCUUGCGUCCGACUGCUGAAACUUGAUUAAACCAUAUCAUUUAGAGGAAGGUGANGUCGUNACA
rnacentral:rRNA from 1 species